CAACCCUCGAACUCUGUUCGGUGUUGGGGAACGACACUAGUCGUCCCUUAAAUAGAGUGGCGGUCUCGCUGUAGCUCCUCUGCGCAGUACUUUCACCUCGCAGUAAGAGAGCAGCGCGGCCUCGCCGUAAAACUCCCCAAUUUUUUCA
rnacentral:misc_RNA from 1 species